GACGAACGCUGGCGGCGUGCUUAACACAUGCAAGUCGAACGGAAAGGCCCUGCUUUUGUGGGGUGCUCGAGUGGCGAACGGGUGAGUAACACGUGAGUAACCUGCCCUUGACUUUGGGAUAACUUCAGGAAACUGGGGCUAAUACCGCAUAGGAGCUCCUGCUGCAUGGUGGGGGUUGGAAAGUUUCGGCGGUUGGGGAUGGACUCGCGGCUUAUCAGCUUGUUGGUGGGGUAGUGGCUUACCAAGGCUGUGACGGGUAGCCGGCCUGAGAGGGUGACCGGCCACAUUGGGACUGAGAUACGGCACAGACUCCUACGGGAGGCAGGAGUGGAGAAUAUUGCACAAUGGGCGGAAGCCUGAUGCAGCAACGCCGCGUGCGGGAUGAGGGCCUUCGGGUUGUAAACCGCUUUCGCCUGUGACGAAGCGUGAGUGACGGUAAUGGGUAAAGAAGCACCGGCUAACUACGUG
rnacentral:rRNA from 1 species